AUACUCUAUUUGUUUUCUAGACUAGUUUAAAGGGUUUAGUGGGUUCUGUUUCACUUCUUUUGCCUGGAAGCCAAGCCAGCAUUGGAGCUAAGGCAUCUGCAGCUCUUUAAUGUCCCAGAGAGCACAGCACGCAUGACUAACAUAGUGUAAAUAAACACAGCUGAGCCAGGCAGAAAUUGGAAGGUUUUCUCAUUAGAAAAAUAAAAUAAACAGAUGCGGUUAAGCACUCUGUCUAAAGUGUUUGUCCAAAGAAUGGAGAUCUCUCAGAAGUUUGAGCACAAAGGUGACAGGGCCAAGUCUCGUGUAAAAGGAAUGGAAUCUGUACGGUCCUUUUAACUAAUAGUCCAUGGGGAAGCCUGUUGAUUUUAACCUUAAAGGAGUGUUACGUCUUGGGAUUUUGGCAGCUUUUCUUUUGGUUCUUCAAUAACAAACUUGGGACAGUGGUUUUGUGUUUCACAAGAAGCAGAAUUUAUUGAAGUUGCCCAUUGCUGGUGCUGGGCCAAGAAAUACCUAAUUCAGCCAAUCUGGUUCAAAUGGAGCUGUUUUUAUAAUACAAUGGAAACCAUGGGGCUCUUUAUGAAACACAAGGUUGACUGCACCGCAGCUGUGGCUGGCAUAAAGCUCGGGGGCCAGAUGUGAUUUGUGUCCAGCAGUUCAGUUCAACGUAUGAACAAAGGACCCAGGGUCUUUAGCACCUAUCUCAACAUUGAAUUCAUGCGGCAUUAUUAAAGUCAGAAAGGCUACUUUUGGAUGAGAAGGCAAAAGCACCUGAUGGACGUUCCCGAUUGAAGAACAGCAUCAUCCCAAUGAUUACUAUGCAACACCUCCUUCAGGAAAACAUUAUCUGAUCAUUUGUCUUACAGUUAUUGGCAAAAAGUGUCACGACAAUUCCUAUUUACUCCAUUGGCUUUGAUGUACCCGUGUAAUUCUUGUGUAUAUAAAAAGCAUUGCACAGAGCAAAGUUUUCCUUUGUUUUCUAUUUUUCUCUUUGCUUGUUCUUUCACCGUUAACAUCUUUUCAUUCACAUUUUCUUUAUCUCUGCCACCUCAGAAUCUCUAAGAAUUGUAGUGAGCAAAUAAUGAAGUAAGGAAUGGUCCUUCGAUUCUCCUCCCCACUCCACCCUAUCCCCUUCCACCUAAGUCUCUCCCUAUGGCUUCACAUUUGACUCCUCUUAUGACAUUAUUUGAUACCCUUUCGUCUCCUUUUAAUUUCCAGUCUUUGUCACUUACUUCACCGAUAUGCCAUUCAAUCUCACCCUCGCAUACAUCCACUUAUCACCUGCCCCGACUUUAUCCCAUCACCAGACUCAGAUACAAUGUUUUCUCUUGUGUUAUCAGACCUCUGAACACUCCUCCGUUGCUAGGGUACGGUCCGAAUCACCUCCACCCCAUUGUGGACAUUGGACUAUGUCUGUGGAACUGUUGCGCUACAAUGCUGAGAACUAUAUUCUGCCCUCUGUAUCUUCCCCUUUGCUCUAUCUAUUGUACUUGAGUUUGAAGUGAUUGUAUUUAUGCAGAGUGUUAUCUGAUCUGACUGGAUAGCAUGUAAAGCAAAGCUUUUCAUUUGGUCUCAGUAAAGGUAACAAGAAUAAACUUCUUCAGAUCUUUUCCAGUCUGAAGAAGGCCCUUAACUCGAAACAUCGCCUGUCCAUUCCCUCCACAGAUGCUACAUGACCUGUUAUAUCCACCAGCACUUUGUGUUUUGCUUUGUAAAGUAAGGGUUUGUGUUCAUCGUAUUCUUUUCACAAAAUCAAAAUGUUACAAAUGAUAUGAUAGCCAAUCAAAACAUUUAAAGUAUAGCCCAGAGGUAACAAGGGAAAUAAGGAGAUAGAUAUUGAAUAACAUCGGGUGGAAAAGAUUUAGAAGGAUAUGGGCCUAACACAGGCAAAUGGGGCUCACUGAGAUGGGACAUCUUGGUCAGCAUGGGCAAGAUGGGCCAAAGGGUCUGUUUCCUUGCUAUAUGAUUCGAUGACUCUAUAACUGUAAAACCUUAGGCACAAGGACACAAGUUUGAUUUCUAUGACCUUCUCUGCUCAAUGAGUUUAGUGAAAGAUCGUGUAAUAAGCAUAUACAUCAUAUGUUAACCCAAUCAUUCUUGGGAUCAUUCUCAUAAACGUCCCUGGACCCUCUCCAAUGCCAGCACAUCCUUCCUCAGAUAUGGGGCCCAAAAUUACUCGCAAUACUCCAAAUGCAGUCUGACUAGUGCCUUAUAAAACCUUAGCAUUACAUCCCUAUUUUGUAUUCUAGCCCUCUUGAAAUAAUUGCUAGCAUUGCAUUCACCUUCCAUACUACCGAUUCAACUUGGGAAUCCUGCACCAGUUCUCCCAAGUUCCUUUGCACCUCUGAUAUCUGAUAAACAGUCUACGCCUUUAUUCCUACUACUAAAAUGCAUGACAUCACACUUUGCUAUGCUGUAUUCCAUCUGCCACUUCUCAGCCCACUCUCCCAACCUGUCCAAGUCCUUUUGCAGAGUGCCUGCUUUCUCUACACUGCCUGCCCCUACCUAUCUUUGUAUUUUCUGCAAAAUAGAAGGGGACAUAGAAUCAUAUGUAUAGAAAAUAGGUUUAAUAAACUACGAGCCAGCACAGCCAUUCAACAUGAUCAUGGAUGAUCAUCCAAAAUCAGUACCCCGUUACUGCUUUCUCCCCAUAUCCCCUGAUUCCGUUAGCCCUAAGAGCUCUAUCAAACUCUCUCUUGAAUACAUCUGUGGGAUACAAUGGGACAUUUGUGAUAUCCUCCAUGACUCUUUGUAAUGCUUUCAAUCUACAAGCACCUUGAUGCAUGGCCAACACAAAGCACACAUUUCCACACCACAGGUCUGGGUUCUGCUUCACAAACCUACUUUCCCAUAUGGUCCAGAUGAACAUUAAAAACUUUACAAUGAGCUGGCUGAAAACACAAGAACUUGUGCUAGAAUGUUAAUGCUAUUUUAAAAGGGAGUCUUCAAGCAUCUGAUUUUUCUAUUUUUUCCACAUAUGGCGAUGGAAGGCCCAUUAUUCUGGAUGCUCGGUUUUUUACCAUUAUAAUACCUUGCAAAAAAGCAGUCGCCUUCUGAAUUACAAAGAUUCAGUCUUAUGGGGCAAAAUAAGUUAAACAUACAGGCCAACAUAAUGUUAAUUUGCAAUGGUUUCCACUUAAGUGCAAAGGCAUUGUUACAGUCAAUUGACUUAAUGUUACCUUCGUCCUCAAGGGGUUAAUUAGAGCCUCUGUGUACCACAUAAAAGGGGCUUUUACUAUUAACUUGGUAAAUAAAUACACACACACAUUCUUUAUCCUCCGAGGGGUUUCGAGUGAA